rnacentral:snRNA from 1 species
GUGCUUGCUUUGGAAGCACAUAUAUUAAAAUUACAACGAAACAGAAGAUUAGCAUGGCCCCUACGCAAGGACAACAUGCAAAUUUGUGAAGCAUUCCAUAGUUUU